UACGGGGGGGGCAAGCGUUAUCCGGAUUCACUGGGUUUAAAGGGUGCGUAGGUGGUCAAGUAAGUCAGUGGUGAAAUCUCCGGGCUUAACCCGGAAACUGCCAUUGAUACUAUUUGUCUUGAAUACUGUGGAGGUCAGCGGAAUAUGUCAUGUAGCGGUGAAAUGCUUAGAUAUGACAUAGAACACCAAUUGCGAAGGCAGCUGGCUACACAAAUAUUGACACUGAGGCACGAAAGCGUGGGGAUCAAACAGG
rnacentral:rRNA from 1 species